UACGGAGGGUGCAAACGUUGCUCGGAAUCAUUGGGCGUAAAGCGCACGUAGGCGGUCCAGCAAGUCGGGUGUGAAAGCCCUCGGCUUAACCGAGGAAGUGCAUUCGAAACUACUGGACUUGAAUACUGGAGAGGAUCGCGGAAUUCCCGGUGUAGCGGUGAAAUGCGCAGAUAUCGGGAAGAACACCCCUGGCGAAGGCCGCUCUCUGGGACGGUACUGACGCUGAGACGCGAAAGCGUGGGGAGCGAACAGG
rnacentral:rRNA from 1 species